AACCUCAUUUCUUCCUCUGCUAAC
rnacentral:snRNA from 1 species